UAGAGUUUGAUCAUGGCUCAGAUUGAACGCUGGCGGCAUGCCUUACACAUGCAAGUCGAACGGCAGCGGACCUUCGGGUGCCGGCGAGUGGCGAACGGGUGAGUAAAGUAUCGGAACGUACCUUUCAGUGGGGGAUAACGUAGCGAAAGUUACGCUAAUACCGCAUAUUCUGUGAGCAGGAAAGCAGGGGAUCGCAAGACCUUGCGCUGAUUGAGCGGCCGAUAUCAGAUUAGCUAGUUGGUGGGGUAAAGGCCUACCAAGGCGACGAUCUGUAGCGGGUCUGAGAGGAUGAUCCGCCACACUGGGACUGAGACACGGCCCAGACUCCUACGGGAGGCAGCAGUGGGGAAUUUUGGACAAUGGGCGCAAGCCUGAUCCAGCCAUGCCGCGUGAGUGAAGAAGGCCUUCGGGUUGUAAAGCUCUUUCGGCCGGGAAGAAAUCGCAUGGGCUAAUACCCUGUGUGGAUGACGGUACCGGAAUAAGAAGCACCGGCUAACUACGUGCCAGCAGCCGCGGUAAUACGUAGGGUGCGAGCGUUAAUCGGAAUUACUGGGCGUAAAGCGUGCGCAGGCGGUUUUUUAAGAUAGGCGUGAAAUCCCCGGGCUCAACCUGGGAACUGCGCUUAUGACUGGAAGACUAGAGUAUGGCAGAGGGGGGUGGAAUUCCACGUGUAGCAGUGAAAUGCGUAGAGAUGUGGAGGAACACCGAUGGCGAAGGCAGCCCCCUGGGCCAAUACUGACGCUCAUGCA
rnacentral:rRNA from 1 species